rnacentral:rRNA from 1 species
ACGAACGCUGGCGGCGUGCCUAAUACAUGCAAGUCGCACGCUUCUUUCCUCCCGAGUGCUUGCACUCAAUUGGAAAGAGGAGUGGCGGACGGGUGAGUAACACGUGGGUAACCUACCCAUCAGAGGGGGAUAACACUUGGAAACAGGUGCUAAUACCGCAUAACAGUUUAUGCCGCAUGGCAUAAGAGUGAAAGGCGCUUUCGGGUGUCGCUGAUGGAUGGACCCGCGGUGCAUUAGCUAGUUGGUGAGGUAACGGCUCACCAAGGCCACGAUGCAUAGCCGACCUGAGAGGGUGAUCGGCCACACUGGGACUGAGACACGGCCCAGACUCCUACGGGAGGCAGCAGUAGGGAAUCUUCGGCAAUGGACGAAAGUCUGACCGAGCAACGCCGCGUGAGUGAAGAAGGUUUUCGGAUCGUAAAACUCUGUUGUUAGAGAAGAACAAGGACGUUAGUAACUGAACGUCCCCUGACGGUAUCUAACCAGAAAGCCACGGCUAACUACGU